AUUGAACGCUGGCGGCAGGCCUAACACAUGCAAGUCGAACGGUAACAGAAAGCAGCUUGCUGCUUUGCUGACGAGUGGCGGACGGGUGAGUAAUGUCUGGGAAACUGCCUGAUGGAGGGGGAUAACUACUGGAAACGGUAGCUAAUACCGCAUAACGUCGCAAGACCAAAGAGGGGGACCUUCGGGCCUCUUGCCAUCGGAUGUGCCCAGAUGGGAUUAGCUAGUAGGUGGGGUAAUGGCUCACCUAGGCGACGAUCCCUAGCUGGUCUGAGAGGAUGACCAGCCACACUGGAACUGAGACACGGUCCAGACUCCUACGGGAGGCAGCAGUGGGGAAUAUUGCACAAUGGGCGCAAGCCUGAUGCAGCCAUGCCGCGUGUAUGAAGAAGGCCUUCGGGUUGUAAAGUACUUUCGGCGAGGAGGAAGGUGUUGUGGUUAAUAACCACAGCAAUUGACGUUACUCGCAGAAGAAGCACCGGCUAACUCCGUGCCAGCCGCCGCAGUAA
rnacentral:rRNA from 1 species